rnacentral:rRNA from 1 species
UACGUAGGUGGCAAGCGUUGUCCGGAAUUAUUGGGCGUAAAGCGCGCGCAGGCGGUCCUUUAAGUCUGAUGUGAAAGCCCACGGCUCAACCGUGGAGGGUCAUUGGAAACUGGGGACUUGAGUACAGAAGAGAAGAGUGGAAUUCCACGUGUAGCGGUGAAAUGCGUAGAGAUGUGGAGGAACACCAGUGGCGAAGGCGGAUCUCUGGGCCUGUCCUGACGCUGAGGCGCGAAAGCUAGGGGAGCGAACAGG